AAAGGGAACAAAGCUACUCUCAAUCAGUGAGUUGGAUAUGGUGAAACUACCAGGUCGGCCGGCAGCAUAGUCCGAAGACGCAAAGCGGAGCGGAAUUUCCGUGACAGGACGGUCGAUGGAGAGGUCAUCAGGAGAGCCGUUGGGCCAGGUAAAGUGACGCGACGCGGAUGCACGUAGUGACGAGGCGCGCCUACCGCACUGAUCUGAUAUAAGAGGCAAGUUCUCUCACUCGCUCACUCGCUCGCCCGCCGCGGCCGCCGUCGCCGCGAGUACUUUCACCCAAUGCCCCAUUUCAUUUUUACGCGCGAUCACCGUCGCUGACUUGUGUUGUACCACCGCGCCUGCCUCCGCACCUCCACCGACGAACGAACGACGUCGUAGCCCAACCCGAAUGCUGUUACGAGAGCAUAAUUACGAACCGAUGCGCACUAUAUAACCGAGCAAAGAGGUUAGGGAGGGCUCAAGAUGAUAGGCGCGUUACUGAUAAAAAUGAAAGCAUCCUGGCUGUGGAAGUGCAGAGACGUGGCGGCUCGUUUAAAAGAGCGAGAGGAGCUGAGUGAGAUAGAUAUUACAAAGCAAAAGGAGGGAUAUGGUGGGUGGGAGAGAGCAACAUCAUCAACUUGCUUACAAACUGACAAUCGUGCUUACGUACAGGAUGCCUCAAAAGCCGUUUGGCUUCUUUCGGAGUCUUAAUUAAAUUUUAUUUGCACGGCGUGUUGCAAGCGCAAGUGCGUGCACCAUGUCGCGUCGCAAGACGAGAAAGUAGCCGAAUAGAUGUGAACCGGUUCGCGAUCUUUCUUACUCGUCAUUCUGCGCCACGCAAAGGAAAGAGAAGAGGGAGGAAGUAAAGAGAGAAAAAAGAGAAUGUGU